AACCUGGCUCUGCCUGACUCCAGCGUCCAGGCCAGGGGCAGACAGUGGACAGAGAACAGUGCCCAAGACCACUGGACUUGGAGUCAGGACAUCAUUUUAACAGCUUUAU
rnacentral:pre_miRNA from 2 species